CAUAAAUAUAGAGCGGAUGAGCAUUAGAAAAAAAUGCCCUUUUCAAAUCAAACUCGCACAUUAACAUCCUCGAUUCGCCGCAUACGAUCAUGAACCGCACCUAACACUGUUUUGUAUGAGCGUCAGAGGUCAGAGGUCGUCGAACUGAACUGAGCCGGAUGAUGAUAAUCACUGGAUUUAAUGAUGAACUGCCUUGAUCUGAAAACAGAGUGUUUACUUUUGUCCUUUUGCAUUAUUGACACACUACUUUCCUAUUUAAUACUGUAAAGCUGCUUUGACACAAUCUGUAUUGUUAAAAGUGUUAUAUAAAUAAAGGUGACUUGACAGGAACAUCUCUGCAUCUGUUUCACUCAGCCAGACCUCUGCCAUGUUAAAGUGCUGUGAGAACGGCCUGAUUCGAUCAGUUUCGUCAUGCGGAGGAUUCUGGGGCACGUGUUUCCGCCGCUUUAAUCACAUUUGAACCUAAACGGCAUCAGAUUUAGCUGUUUAUUUCUCCCUGCGCUCCUGAUGAUAUGCGUGUGUCGGUGACCUACUUUUGCUCGAGCUGAUUCAGCAAGAGGCGGCGGUGCAGGAUCCAGGGCCCCUGGUGUCGAUCUGUCUAUUGUGCCUUCACUGUGUGUGCGUAGGAGUUCACAUGCAUAUACAGCUGAGAGUGUGGUGGUAAUAUCAGACCAACAGUUAACAGGAAACAGUGCUCAUAACCCUCUGAAACAAAUGGAGCCAGCAAUUUCACUUCAAUGCUGAUUACAAAAACAUGCUUUUUUUUUUUUCUUUUUUUUGUAAGGUCACUGAUGAAUCGUUCAUUAUAAGACUGGGAACAUGCAUUAAAACAGUAAAUGGAGUUUGAUUGCAACGAUCUGAAAAUGUGGGUUUCUGCCGCUGAGGUGAAGGAAAAACAUGUCUCCAACACAUGAGAUCUGAAGAGGACAACACAAGCACCGGAGAAAGCCGGUUCCCAGAGGAGCGGUCGCAUUUCCUCAGAUAAAGUGCAGCCUGUAACACGGUCACUCGGGGACGCUGCGGUCUGCACACGCUCAGUCACUGAAC
rnacentral:lncRNA from 1 species